rnacentral:rRNA from 1 species
GAUUAACGCUGGCGGCGUGCAUAACACAUGCAAGUCGAACGAUGAAACUUUACUGACUUCUUCGGAAUGAUUUAAAGCGGAUUAGUGGCGAACGGGUGAGUAACGCGUGAGUAACCUGCCUUACACAAGGGGAUAGCCUCUGGAAACGGAGAAUAAUACCCUAUGAAGCCAGACAAUCGCAUGAUAAUCUGGUCAAAAUGUUUAGUGGUGUAAGAUGGACUUGCGUCUGAUUAGCUAGUUGGUGAGAUAAAAGCUCACCAAGGCAACGAUCAGUAGCCGGCUUGGGAGAGUGUACGGCCACAUUGGGACUGAGACACGGCCCAGACUCCUACGGGAGGCAGCAGUGGGGAAUUUUGCACAAUGGGGGAAACCCUGAUGCAGCGACGCCGCGUGAUUUAGAAGGCCUUCGGGUUGUAAAAAUCUUUUGUACAGGAAGAAAAUGACAGUACUAUACGAAUAAGGUCCGGCUAAUUACGUG